CGUUGUUGCACUCGAUCCACGGGGUGUAACCGAUCGCGUCGCUGAUGGCGCUCACGACGCUCUUCAAGCUGUAAUCGCCACCAUCGGGCUGAAUCCCUGCAGCAGCAGCUUCCAUCUCAGACGACCACCACAAGGCUUCGCUUGAGAGCUGCUUGGAAGUAGCCGUGCUGGUCGAGGACGGACUCGGAGCAGGUGCCGUGCUUCUCCCACUCGUGGGUCCAGAACUGGGUGCCGUCGCUGCUUGGGCACGCUAGGGUCGGCCACUUCUGUCGCAUGGUACUCAACAGGUCCCUCACCUGCAACCAAAGCAACAAGACGGCUCCAUAGGAUGCUACACUUGCACGAACCAAAAACACAAAAAUGAGUAUCCCAAUUCUCCUAAUCAUCACAGGAUCAUGAGGAGAGGAGGAGAAUAAGAUAGGAUUAGGCACCUUGGAAGCAUCGUAAGGGUUGUUGGGAUCACAGUUAGACGGAUAGGAACCAUCGUUGUAGUUGGGCCA